rnacentral:rRNA from 1 species
GGUAACGCCUGCCCAGUGAAAUUUCAACGGCCGCGGUAUCCUAACCGUGCAAAGGUAGCGUAAUCACUUGUCCUCUAAAUAGGGACCAGUAUGAAUGGCUAAAUGAGGGUCAACCUGUCUCCUCUAAUCAAUCAGUGAAACUGAUCUACCAGUACAAAAGCUGGUAUAGACCCAUAAGACGAGAAGACCCUGUGGAGCUUUAAAUCAAAAAUCAAUAUUUAUACACCACACAACCAAAUCUGACUUUAAGAUUUUCAGUUGGGGCGACUUCGGAACAAAAAACAACUUCCGAGCACAAGACCUACACUCUUUCACAGACCUACAAGUCUAAAACUUGACCCAGUCUACACUGAUCAACGAACCAAGUUACCCCAGGGAUAACAGCGCAAUCUUCUUCAAGAGUCCAUAUCGACAAGAAGGUUUACGACCUCGAUGUUGGAUCAGGACACCCAAUUGGUGCAGCCGCUAUUAAAGGUUCGUUUGUUCAACGAUU